rnacentral:rRNA from 1 species
GGAUUAGAUACCCUGGUAGUCCACGCCGUAAACGAUGUCGACUAGCCGUUGGAGUCCUUGAGGCUUUAGUGGCGCAGCUAACGCGAUAAGUCGACCGCCUGGGGAGUACGGCCGCAAGGUUAAAACUCAAAGGAAUUGACGGGGGCUCACACAAGCGGUGGAGCAUGUGGUUUAAUUCGAAGCAACGCGAAGAACCUUACCAGGCCUUGACAUGUUUGGAUUAGCAACCUGAAAGGGUUGUGACGCUCUUCGGAGUGGAACUUACACAGGUGUUGCAUGGCUGUCGUCAGCUCGUGCCG